UUAAAACCUGUCACGACCCGAGGCUGUGAGCAUAUGCUGCGUUAGGCCUGUUUUUUAAACUUUAAGUUAAAUAUAUACAUAUAUUCAGCUAGCUGUACAGCUAUAAGCAUAUCUGUUUGUCGACCCGUCGAUUAAAAACACCAUUAAGUCGUUUGGACGCAGGUUUUACUGUCAUAAGCUGUUGAUCAGAUGGAGGUUGACACAGGGGAGCAGUUGGACGAGUUUACAGAUUGAACAGAGAACUCAGAAGUGCCUUCAGAGGAGCAGAUGGCACCUGAUAAAUCCAGGAUGGGAAUGGCGAGACCACUGCCGUAUCCGCACGUGUGGCAGGAAAGGAGCAUGAGGAGGGCCAGCAG